GGAAGGCGGCGACGCGGCUCUUUUCAAGUGGACUGAUGAACACACUCAGCUCCUUAUUCAGUGGAGAGUGGCUAAUGAAGCCCUCUUCACUGGAAACCGUAAUGCUGCCAUCAAAGAUUUUGAAUCUUUUGUGACAGAGCAGUGACUUGAGGGCAAAAUUUCUGCCGCUCAAGUCAAAAAAGAAAGUGGGAGAAC